rnacentral:lncRNA from 1 species
GGGGUGGCUUUGCUCUCCUCCUCCUCCUCCCUCUCUGCUUCCUUCUCCUCCCCCUUCCCCUCCAAGUUCCAGGCAGCAACAGCGGUAGCAACCACCACCAAAGAAGCGGCGGGCUGUCUAAGCAACACUCUUUUGUCUCCAGCUCCUGGACAAUCCCCAAACCCCUUCCCCUCCCACCUUCGGUGAAAUCUGGCAGAUAGACACAAGAACAAGAGCUGGAAAUUUGUCUCCUAGUAGUCAUGGGGGAUGAAGAAGUGGCAAUUCUCAAAGACUGUCUAGCAGGAGGUCUGGAUUCCAACGAGAUCGUAAAAAAGGAGACGGGACCCACUUAUACAAAAACAUUUAUAGCGGUUCUUUUUGUGGUGGCAAAGAACUGGAAAUUGAAGGGAUACCCAUCUGUUGGGGAAUGGAAUGGCUGAACAAACUGUGGUACAUGUUAGUGGUGGAAUGCUAUUGUACUAUAAGAAAUGAUAAGCAGGAUGAUUUCAGAAAAAGCAGGAAAGAGCUAUAUGACAUGAUGCAGAGCGAAAUCAGCAGAACCAGGAGAUAGAUACAC